AUUGCGCAAUGGCCGAAAGGCUGACGCAGCGACGCCGCGUGGGGGAUGAAGCAUUUCGGUGUGUAAACCCCUGUUGCCCGGGACGAACAAGCGAUUUUGAUCGCUCUGACGGUACCGGGUGAGGAAGCACCGGCUAACUCCGUGCCAGCAGCCGCGGUAAUACGGAGGGUGCGAGCGUUGUCCGGAAUCACUGGGCGUAAAGGGCGCGUAGGCGGUCUGCUAAGCGUGUGGUGAAAGCUCGGGGCUCAACCCCGAGUCUGCCAUGCGAACUGGUGGACUAGAGCACUGUAGAGGCGAGUGGAAUUCCGGGUGUAGCGGUGGAAUGCGUAGAGAUCCGGAAGAACACCGGUGGCGAAGGCGGCUCGCUGGGCAGUAGCUGACGCUGAGGCGCGAUAGCGUGGGGAGCAAACAGGAUUAGAUACCCUGGUAGUCCACGCCGUAAACGAUGGGGACUAGGUGCUUGGGGGAGCGACCCCUCGAGUGCCGGCGCUAACGCAUUAAGUCCCCCGCCUGGGGAGUACGGCCGCAAGGCUGAAACUCAAAGGAAUUGACGG
rnacentral:rRNA from 1 species